rnacentral:rRNA from 1 species
UACGUAGGGUGCGAGCGUUAAUCGGAAUUACUGGGCGUAAAGAGUGCGUAGGCGGUUCUCCAAGUCCGUUGUGAAAGCCCCGGGCUCAACCUGGGAAUGGCAGUGGAAACUAGGGGACUUGAAUCUGGCAGAGGGGGGUGGAAUGCCGCGUGUAGCAGUGAAAUGCGUAGAGAUGCGGCGGAACACCGAUGGCGAAGGCAGCCCCCUGGGCUGAGAUUGACGCUGAGGUGCGAAAGCGUGGGGAGCAAACAGG